UACGGGGGAGCAAGCGUUGUUCGGAUUUACUGGGCGUAAAGGGCGCGUAGGCGGUCAGCACAAGUCAGUUGUGAAAUCUCCGGGCUUAACUCGGAAAGGUCAACUGAUACUGUGCGACUAGAGUGCAGAGGGCAACUGGAAUUCUCGGUGUAGCGGUGAAAUGCGUAGAUAUCAAGAGGAACACCUGCGGCGAAGGCGGGUUGCUGGGCCGACACUGACGCUGAUGCGCGAAAGCUAGGGGAGCGAACGGG
rnacentral:rRNA from 1 species